rnacentral:misc_RNA from 1 species
AUGCGAUACGUAAUGUGAAUUGCAGAAUUCAGUGAAUCAUCGAAUCUUUGAACGCAUAUUGCGCUCUCUGGUAUUCCGGAGAGCAUGCUUGUUUGAGUAUCAGUAAACACCUCAACUCCCUUUUCUUUUUUGAAAUGGGAGCUGGACUUGAGUGAUCCCAACACUUUUCUCACUGGAAAGUGGCGGGUCACUUGAAAUGCAGGUGCAGCUGGACUUUUCUCUGAGCUAUAAGCAUAUCUAUUUAGUCUGCCUAAAAACCAGAUUAUUACCUUUGCUGCAGCUAACAUAAAGGAGAUGAGUUCUUGUGCUGACUGAUGCAGGAUUCACAGAGACAGCUUUGCGGCUGACUUUGUAAACUCGAUCUCAAAUCAAGUAAGACUACCCGCUGAACUUAA